GACGAACGCUGGCGGCGUGCCUAAUACAUGCAAGUAGAACGCACAGUUUAUACCGUAGCUUGCUACACCAUAGACUGUGAGUUGCGAACGGGUGAGUAACGCGUAGGUAACCUGCCUGGUAGCGGGGGAUAACUAUUGGAAACGAUAGCUAAUACCGCAUAAUAUUGAUUAUUGCAUGAUAAUUGAUUGAAAGAUGCUAUUGCAUCACUACCAGAUGGACCUGCGUUGUAUUAGCUAGUAGGUGAGGUAACGGCUCACCUAGGCGACGAUACAUAGCCGACCUGAGAGGGUGAUCGGCCACACUGGGACUGAGACACGGCCCAGACUCCUACGGGAGGCAGCAGUAGGGAAGCUUCGGCAAUGGACGAAAGUCUGACCGAGCAACGCCGCGUGAGUGAAGAAGGGUUUCGGAUCGUAAAGCUCUGUUGUAAGAGAAGAACGGGUGUGAGAGUGGAAAGUUCACACUGUGACGGUAUCUUACCAGAAAGGGACGGCUAACUACGUG
rnacentral:rRNA from 1 species